AAGUGUUGGCGCUCCUUUUCUGGUGUAUCAAUAAGCUUCCACAUGUCUAACAAUGCUUUACCUAAAUGAUGAAGCUGAAAUAAAAAGAAUACUGCAUUAAUUUUUUACGAAUGGGUAGAUUCUCGGUGGAAACAACAGAUACGACAUGGCUGUUUGGAAGAGGAGGACAAAAAUUAAGAUGAGCAAGGAUGAAUUACCCUUUCAGGAAGAGACCGUUCGCCAAGAGACAGAAGAAGCUGAGUAAAUUCAGACUCAGAUUCAGCCAGUUCCUGAUGCAGACGUGAUCUAGCCAUGUUUGCAUAAUCAACCUUUUUUCUGUAGA